rnacentral:rRNA from 1 species
UACGAAGGGGGCGAGCGUUGUUCGGAUUUACUGGGCGUAAAGGGCGCGCAGGCGGCUUUGUUUGUCAGGCGUGAAAGCCCCGGGCUUAACCUGGGAACUGCGUUUGAUACGGCAGGGCUAGAGUUCGGGAGAGGAGAGUGGAAUUCCCAGUGUAGAGGUGAAAUUCGUAGAUAUUGGGAAGAACACCGGUGGCGAAGGCGGCUCUCUGGACCGAUUCUGACGCUGAAGCGCGAAAGCGUGGGGAGCAAACGGG